rnacentral:rRNA from 1 species
CAUGAAGUCGGAAUUGCUAGUAAUGGCAGGUCAGCAUACUGCCGUGAAUACGUUCCCGGGCCUUGUACACACCGCCCGUCACACCAUGAGAGUUGGGAAUACCCGAAGCCUGUGAGCCAACAAACGAGGCAGCAGUCGAAGGUAGAAUCAAUGAUUGGGGUGAAGUCGUAACAAGGUACC